GAUGAAGAACGUAGCGAAAUGCGAUAAGUAAUGUGAAUUGAAGAAUUCAGUGAAUCAUCGAAUCUUUGAACGCACCUUGCGCUCCUUGGUAUUCCGAGGAGCAUGCCUGUUUGAGUGUCAUUAAUAUAUCAACCUUCUCUUUUUUGAGUUGUUUGGAUGUGGGGGUUUGCUGGCCUCUUAAAUGAUUCAGCUCCCCUGAAAUGCAUUAGCAGAACAACCUGUUCAUUAGCGUGAUAAUUAUCUAUGCUAUUGAAUGUGAGGGCAGUUCAGCUUUCUAACCGUCCUUGGACAAUUCAUCAUUAAUGUGACCUCAAAUCAGGUAGGACUACCCGCUGAACUUAAGCAUAUCAAUAAGCGGAGGA
rnacentral:misc_RNA from 1 species